GUAAAAUAAUAAAUUUAGAUUUUUAUAGUAACAUAAUUAAAAAAAAAUUAAAAUAGAAAACAAAAAAUUAAAUAAAUAAAUAAACUAUUCAUCUUCUUCAAAUCCCCACUCCUUCCAACCUCACCUAUUCCCAACGCAACCACCAAAAACCAGAAAAUCAGUCACUAUCAGCCACUGUCACCGACCAGCAACCGCAGCAUCGUAAACUCUCUGAUCCUUAUCACAAAGUUAUAUAUUAAACUUCUUCAUAACUUAUUUCAUUUGUACCCUCAAGUUCUUUUAAAUUGGGUGAAAUCUACCAAGCCCCAUGUCUCUUUUCUCCACCCACAUUAACUAGUAAUCUCCAAGUCCGAUCUGUUGACACCCCCAAAUCACACUUCAAAGAUUCUCUACACCUACAAUCGCGCCAUGAAGGGAUUCUUAGAUCGGCUCACCGUUGACCAAGCCGCCAAGAUCAGCCAUGGAACUCACCGCUGACUAAGCCACCACGACCAUGUCGUGCUCUGCAGGUAACCAGGUAAUUUCGGCCCUGAUCCAUAUAUUACUGGUGGUGGUUGUACCGUAUCUGGGCUUGGAUAACUGUUGCUUGAAAAGCUUUCGGUUGAUUAUGGUAAAAAAUCGAAGUCGGGUUUUAGUAUUUACCCUUCUCCUCGGCUUUCAACUACCGUUGUUGAGCCUUAUAAUCAUGUGCUUUCGACUCAUUCUCCUUCGGAGCACACUGAUGUUAAUGUGAAUGAAGUUUAUCUCAAUGAUGUUUGGCUAUGAAGUAUGCGUUGGAAAAUGGUUAGUUGCAUUAAAUUGAAACACUGUAAAAUUCAAAAAGUAGAACUUAUCAAUCAAAUUUCGUGAUAUCACGAUAUUCUAAAGUGAAAUUGCGUAUUGUUAAUUGGGUUGUGCUAUUUGCACAGGGCCCUGUGCAAGGAGGAUUACCCUUGUUAAUUACUGUGACCUUUGUAGACAAUUAUUUUGCGGAUACAACGAUAAAAAAAUCACUUGUGUAGCGAUUUUAGAAAUCACCAGUGUGCUCCAGAAAAAAAGUAUAUAAGUAUAAAACUUGAGUAUGAAAGAUUAUAGAAUAUAAAAAUGAUAAAUUAGUUUUUGAUGUAAUUUUUUCAAAAUUAGAUAUGAGUUUAUAUGCCCUGGGGCAUAGUUUAAUGGUGCAAAGGAUAGGAGUGAGGUUAUAUCAUACCUUAUUGGCAGCUGUAGUGUAGGGGUUCGAUUCGUGAAACAUGAAAUUGGACUCCUUAUAGGCGCAAUGUACAGACAGCUCUUGUUCCCUGGCCUGAUGGGGCACAUCCCGCGAUUUACCUCCCUCACAAAGUUCUAGGG
rnacentral:lncRNA from 1 species